GAUGAACGCUGGCGGCGUGCCUAACACAUGCAAGUCGAACGAACGCACGAGAAGCUGGCUUCCCUGAUGUUAGCGGCGGACGGGUGAGUCACACGUGGAUGACCUACCUAUAAGACUGGGAUAACUACGGGAAACUGGAGCUAAUACCGGACAAUAUUUUGAACCGCAUGGUUCAAAAGUGAAAGACGGUUUUGCUGUCACUUAUAGAUGGACCCGCGCUGCAUUAGCUAGUUGGUACGGUAACGGCUUACCAAGGCAAGGAUGCGUAGCCGACCUGAGAGGAAGAUCGGCCACACUGGAACUGAGACACGGCCCAGACUCCUACGGGAGGCAGCAGUAGGGAAUCUUCCGCAAUGGGGGAAAGCCUGACGGAGCAACGCCGCGUGAGUGAUGAAGGUCUUCGGAUCGUAAACCUCUGUUGUUAGGGAAGAACAUAUGUGUGAUUAACCGCGCAGAUCAUGACGGUACCGGAUGAAUAAGCCCCGGCUAACUACGUG
rnacentral:rRNA from 1 species